rnacentral:rRNA from 1 species
AUUCCAGCUCCAAUAGCGUAUAUUAAUGUUGUUGCAGUUAAAAAGCUCGUAGUUGGAUUUCUGGAUUGAGCGGCUGGCCUUGCGCGCAAGCGUUCGUGUCGGCUUCGUUUCGGUCCAUCCUCAGGGGGACUUGCGCUGGCAUUAACGUGUCGGUGUUGGGACGCCUGUCGUUUACUGUGAACAAAUUAGAGUGUUCAAAGCAAGGUGUACUUGAAUACAUUAGCAUGGAAUAAUAAGAUAGGACUUUGGUGGUUCUUUUUGAUAUUUUGUUGGUUUGCACGCCAAAGUAAUGAUUAAUAGGAGCAGUUGGGGGUAUUCGUAUUCAAUUGUCAGAGGUGAAAUUCUUGGAUUUAUAGAAGACGAACUACUGCGAAAGCAUUUACCAAGGAUGUUUUCAUUG